GUGGAGUCUUGCUGUGGAAGGAAGCCAUUACUCCUACUGGUCAAGUAGCCAGCCAGUCUUCCUCCACACCCCACCCCACCCCAUUCCGGACCCCCACUCCUCCCUCUAUUGGCGGACAGAGAGAGAGAGAGGCCAAGGAGGGGGAUCCACUCCGUCCGAUGGCGAUGGCGCCGCCGCGUCUGCUGCGGGGCCUCAUCGCGCCGAUGUCGCCGGCCGACUGGCUGCCCUGCCACCUGCAGCUGCUGGCCUCGUCCGCCUCGCUCCUGCACCGCUGGUGGCUCCCCUCGCUCGCGCGCCUCCGCUGCCCCUCCUGCUCCGACGGAUUCAAGCUCUUCCUCGUCCUGCUCCUCUUCUCCGCCGCCCUCGCCGAGGUCCGCUUCGUCGCCUCCGCCUCCAUGGCCCCCACCCUCCGCCCGGGCGACCGCGCCGUCGCAGAAAAAGUCACCUACAUGUUCCGGAAGCCAUCUGCCGGGGACAUAGUCUUCUUCAGGGUGCCCGCCGCCCUGCAGAAUUGCGGCAUAAAUAAAGAUGUUGUAUUUAUUAAGAGGGUUGUUGCCACCCCUGGAGAUUUCAUCGAGGUCCGACAAGGCCAGCUUAUUGUUAAUGGUGUUGCACAGAAUGAACAUUACACCGCACCCCAUGGUGGGUCGUACAUGAUGGAAGCCAUGGUCCAGAGAUACUUGUAUACCCAAACUCCUAUGGGUCACUACUACACAAACAAAUGACUUUACCAUUGCAAGAGGAGGACCAAAAGUGGCAUGGCUGCUCCGUGUUGUUGACUUCUUGACUGCCCUGUUAUUCUUUCGAGAUGACGGGCCUCAGAUGCGCCUCCCUGAAGACCAUGUAUUCGUCAUGGGUGAUAACCGCAAUAACAGCUGCGAUUCUCGUGCCUGGGGACCUCUUCCUAUCAGCAACAUUGUUGGGAGACACAUUAUGUCCUUUACAAGAUCCUCUCUCCAAUAGCCAAGGCGAAGAUCUUCGAUGACCACCAGAGUUGCGAAACCCCUCCUCGAUGCCACUCGAUAUGAUGUUAUCGAGCUAUGUUGGGCCUCGAGCCCCUAGUAUGUAAAUCUGUGAGACCUUCCUUUCCUGUGUUAGCACGUUGUAUGUGUAGUGACCUAAUCCUGGGGAGAACUGAACAGUGACUUUGUAGCUGUUGUCACUCACCCCCACCCCUGGACUGUCAGCUGUUAAGCUUACCUGUUGGUAGAACCUGCAAGAUGUACCUAAAGGUUGCACCUUCUAGUAACCUUAGUUGUCAAAUCUAAUCGGUAAUGUUAUUAUUACCAUGCACUUGGCUGUCAAUCAAAAAAGGAAAAGGCUGCAUGCCUGAAGAUAAAUCUGUUUAUCUGA